rnacentral:tRNA from 1 species
GGUUUCGUAGCUUAAUUGGAUAGAGCACCUGGUUACGGCCCAGGAGGUUGCAGGUUCGAGUCCUGCCGAGAUCA